rnacentral:rRNA from 1 species
UAACACGUAUGGAACCUGCCCGCAGCAGGGGGAUAAGCGGAAGAAAUUCCGUCUAAUACCGCGUAACACCGCGGAGGGGCAUCCCUCGGCGGUUAAAGAUUCAUCGGCUGCGGAUGGCCAUGCGGCGCAUUAGCUAGUCGGCGGGGUAACGGCCCACCGAGGCGACGAUGCGUAGGGGUUCUGAGAGGAAGGUCCCCCACACUGGUACUGAGACACGGACCAGACUCCUACGGGAGGCAGCAGUGAGGAAUAUUGGUCAAUGGCCGGGAGGCUGAACCAGCCAAGUCGCGUGAGGGAAGACGGCCCUACGGGUUGUAAACCUCUUUUGUCAGGGAGCAAGGUGCAGGUCGGGACCUGCUGUGAGAGUACCUGAAGAAAAAGCAUCGGCUAACUCCGUGCCAGCAGCCGCGGUAAUACGGAGGAUGCGAGCGUUAUCCGGAUUUAUUGGGUUUAAAGGGUGCGCAGGCGGAGGCACAAGUCAGCGGUAAAAUCGCGGGGCUCAACCCCGCUCCGCCGUUGAAACCGUGUCCCUUGAGUGCGCGAAGGGUAGGCGGAAUGCGUGGUGUAGCGGUGAAAUGCAUAGAUAUCACGCAGAACUCCGAUCGCGAAGGCAGCCUACCGGCGCGCAACUGACGCUCAUGCACGAAAGCGUGGGUAUCGAACAGGAUUAGAUACCCUGGUAGUCCACGCAGUAAACGAUGAAUGCUAUCUGU